rnacentral:rRNA from 1 species
UACGGAGGGGGGCUAGCGUUGUUCGGAAUUACUGGGCGUAAAGCGCGCGUAGGCGGCUUUGCAAGUCAGAGGUGAAAGCCUGGAGCUCAACUCCAGAACUGCCUUUGAAACUGCAUCGCUAGAAUCAUGGAGAGGUUAGUGGAAUUCCGAGUGUAGAGGUGAAAUUCGUAGAUAUUCGGAAGAACACCAGUGGCGAAGGCGACUAACUGGACAUGUAUUGACGCUGAGGUGCGAAAGCGUGGGGAGCAAACAGG